rnacentral:rRNA from 1 species
GACGAACGCUGGCGGCGUGCUUAACACGUGCAAGUCGAACGGAAAGGCCCUGCUUUUGUGGGGUGCUCGAGUGGCGAACGGGUGAGUAACACGUGAGUAACCUGCCCUUGACUUUGGGAUAACUUCAGGAAACUGGGGCUAAUACCGGAUAGGAGCUCCUGCUGCAUGGUGGGGGUUGGAAAGUUUCGGCGGUUGGGGAUGGACUCGCGGCUUAUCAGCUUGUUGGUGGGGUAGUGGCUUACCAAGGCUUUGACGGGUAGCCGGCCUGAGAGGGUGACCGGCCACAUUGGGACUGAGAUACGGCCCAGACUCCUACGGGAGGCAGCAGUGGGGAAUAUUGUACAAUGGGCGGAAGCCUGAUGCAGCAACGCCGCGUGCGGGAUGACGGCCUUCGGGUUGUAAACCGCUUUCGCCUGUGACGAAGCGUGAGUGACGGUAAUGGGUAAAGAAGCACCAGCUAACUACGUG